CAUAUAAAAACAUCAAUAAGUGCUCAAAUUUUCGAGAUAAUAGGGAAAUUGGUGAAAGUCCAAUACAGCCCCCGCUACUGUAAUAGCUGAUGAAAUCACAAAGCCACUUGUGCAAACUGGGAAGGCGUGAAAGUAAGAUGAAGCUUAAGUCAGGAAACCUGCUUAGUUGAUUGUGCAUGC
rnacentral:ncRNA from 2 species